rnacentral:rRNA from 1 species
CUGCCGGAGGCUACCGCUAUUGGAGUUCGAUUAAGCCAUGCGAGUCGCGAGUCUUAGGGACUCGGCGUACCGCUCAGUAACACGUGGGUAACCUGCCCUAUGCUGGGAGAUAACCUCGGGAAACUGAGAAUAAUACCCCAUAGUUCACUACGCCUGGAACGGUGAGUGGAUGAAAGCUCCGGCGGCAUAGGAUGGGCCUGCGGCGUAUCAGGUUGUAGGGGGUGUAACGUACCCUCUAGCCCUCUACGCGUACGGGUGUUGGGAGACAUAGCCCGGAGAUGGAUUCUGAGACACGAAUCCAGACCCUACGGGGUGCAGCAGGCGCGAAAACUUGACAAUGCGAGAAAUCGUGAUCAGGGAACUCCAAGUGGCUGGGGUAAGACCCAGUCUUUUCUUGACUCUUCAAAGGUCUUGGAAUAAGGGGUGGGUAAGGACGGUGCCAGCCGCCGCGGUAAUACCGGCGCCUCAAGUGGUAGUCGCUUUUAUUGGGCCUAAAACGUCCGUAGCCGGUCUGAUACAUUCGUGGGUAAAUCAACUAGCUCAACUAGUUGAAUUCUGCGAGGACGGUCAGACUUGGGACCGGGAGAGGUGUGGGGUACGCUCAGGGUAGGGGUAAAAUCCUGUCAUCCUAAGCGGACCACCUGUUGCGAAGGCGCCACACUAGAACGGAUCCGACGGUCAGGGACGAAGCCUAGGGGCACGAACCGGAUUAGAUACCCGGGUAGUCCUAGGUGUAAACGCUGUGGACUUGAUGUUGGGGGCGCUCCGAGCGCUUCCAGUGUCGAAGCGAAGGUGAUAAGUCCACUGCCUGGGAAGUACGGUCGCAAGGCUGAAACUUAAAGGAAUUGGCGGGGGAGCACCGCAACCUGAGGAUUGUGCGGUUUAAUUGGAGUCAACGCCGGG